AUGGUCCGUUCAUUUUCGUUUAACGGCACCAAGAACACGGGUGGAGAGGAUGGCCACCGUGAUAUAUCUUGUUAGGCCCAACACUGUUUCCUGCCCUUGCUCCGUUACCCGACUUGUCCGCUUCCGCUUCCGCUUCGUCCUCUCCGAGGCCUACGAUCUCGUCGGUCGCGGUGGUGUGGGCCGAGCGAACGCCAAGAGCCGCUCUGGCUUCGUCCGCCAAGUCAAUGCUUAUGUGGCGUUGUUUGAUCAAUGAACUUGUGGAUGAAUGAAUUUGUUUAUGGGGAGGUAAUUUCUGUCUUGGAACUUCAGCGUUGCCAUUUCCUCAAACUGAUGAAAGGCUAUAGAUGUAAAAAGAUAGAUGGAUUUGACCCUGUUAGGGCUUGGUGGCCUUCGGCAGAGUAAAAUGACGGCAGUAAAUAGUGUUGUUUGUUCAAAUUCUGCUUAAGGAGAUCAUAUUGGUGCUGGUUACUCAAGCUAUUUGUUAGCUAACUUUUUGUUAGCUUUAAUGCAAGCAUAAAUGAUCAAGGGUUUUUUCAGUUUUGGAAGGAUUUUGAGGAAGAACAUGUGUCGGAUGAAAUGAGCUCCAAAUCAACAAAUAGUCCUGCGAAGUAUUAAGCAUAAUAAAGAUGGUUGGUGAUGCAGGUAGUUCUAUUGGUUCAAGUGAGGGAAGUGCAUAGAGAGUUCUAGUAACUAAUCCUCUUGAAUCUUAUUGGCGCUGAUGUGAUUCUUCUUUCUUGUUUCAAUUGGUAAAAACUUUCUUAGUGGAUGUGUCAUCAUUGAAGGUUCUGUACUCGUGGCAUGGCAGUUUCUAUUAGGUCAAUCAGUCAACAAGCACGUCCAUUCAUCUAUGAUGAUAUUAUGGUUCUCCUUGUUCUUUGCAUUCUUGCUGAAGUAUUUGCAAAGAUAGUAUGCUAUUUUCGAAUUCUGCAUAUGGGCAUAAUUUCCUAGAACAACUGAUACAUCUGAGUUUUAUAUUGUCCCUGCAUAAUCUUGUGUGACAACUUGUCACUAGUUUGUAAACCCAGAAUGCCUGCAUUUGCUGUGUUUUCUUGGUUUUCUCUGUUCUCUGAUUUUCCAAAUAAUCCACAUCUUAGUUAUAACAAUGGCAGUUAAAAUUCCAUAUUUCUUUUCACUUAUUUUCUUUUGAAUGUUUCACUGCAUUUUGAAGAUUGAUGUAUGAUCACCUCUUCCAGACCCCAUCAAGUAUUCAUUAAUUACUGGAGGAUGUGUUUUGGUGCAUCAACGAGUUCUAAUUAUGACCCUCAAUCGGAACAUCAAACGCCUAAUUGAACUGUGGAAACUCCAGGGUCUAAUGGAUCAGAAAGUCAGCUUACAGUGAUUGGAAUAUGUCAAUGGCUACAGGUAUAUAUUUGUGUAGGUCUGGGCAUUUGUCUUAUGAUAAUGUUGUUGUCCUUCAAGCUCAGGCCCUUUGCCAAACAUGCCUUUAGGAUGAAAAGCAACAAAGUUUAUUGCCUGUAAGUCUCGUGUUUUAUUACUCUUAGGAAAAAAGGGUACUCCAGUGCAAAAGACUCCUGAAAUAUAGGGUAUAUUGCCUUCCAACAUCCACAAUUGCAGGACACAAUUGAGUAUGUCAACCAAAUUCUAUGAGACAUCAUUCAAACAAGUCAACCUCUUCAGCUUCCAGGAUUGUUAAUGAUAGACAUCAAUGAGUUCUCAGUUUUAUUUUUUUAUUUUUCCACUUGAAGGAGUAUCUACAGGCCCUAUAUUUUCCAGAAAUUUCUUAUCGCAUGCUGGUCCAUCAAUGUGCCUGUGUAUAUCUCUUCUGUGACAGAUAAAUCUAACAAGUUAAAAUUUGUGAAUUGUUUCUGGUGGAGGCAGAUCGUGUAUGUCUUGGAGGUCCAUUUUAAGAUUUAUACUUCCAUUAGGAUGCGAGCAUGUAUAGAGAUAACACAUGAAACUUAUCCAAGAGGAAGGGUGAUACUAGAAUGCCUGUUCCACCAAAUCUAGUCCAGGAAGUGAAAUUGAUGAUAUGGCUGUGGAUAUGAUAAUAUCACAAACUUCUAGUUUGGCUUUCCUUCCAGAUAUCUAACAUCAUAACCUACUUUUGCAUAAAUUUUAACAGAGAACUUUGAGCAUCGGAAUUUAUACUCUUGGUGCUUGUAUUGCUUGGGUGCUUUUGGCAGUCGAUUUCUUUUGACACCAUAAACAGUUAUAACAUCACAAUGGCAUGGAUUAAUGUCAGAACCAUCAAGAAAUAACCAUUUUGUGUUUGGUUCAUGUAUCCUUUAGAAUGUUUCUUUUUAAGUGUUUCCUUCUAGUGCACAAUAUCUAAACUCUUUUUCUUAAUUGACAUACUUGUUGCAUUAGUAUCUUAUAUUGAAAGGUGACAUAAGUUGAAUUAGUGUUAAAAAUCGUAUAUUUGGACAUCUCUUUGUCAAAGUUUAUUGAAAUUUGAAAUAAUAAUUUGAGACACAAUCAUGUCACAUGAGAGUUCUUGUAGUUUGAACUUUGUUUAGUUAAUACUGUUACUUUGUUAUUUGUGUGUCUUUGUGUCAGUGGCAAUUUGCAGGACAAGAUAGUUGUUUAAACAAUGAUUAUUCGCCAAGCUGCUCAUCAAGGUGUGGAUCCAGGUGUGGCUGAUUGUUUGCUUUUUUCAUUGUGUGCAUGCCAACAGGUAUGGUUUUCAUAGUCGAUGUAGUCUAUCUCCCCUGCAAACAUACUUCUGUUUGUAGAACUCUUUGCUUUAUCUGCUUUGCCCAGCAUGUAUUUUGUGUGAUUGGCUACAUUUGAAGAAUAUUUGCUGUAAAUAAUUUAGAAACACAAAUUUUAGGUAAGUUUGCCUCUGCAGUUAGCCUACUCUAUUGUUGUACUUAUGGAAUUACAAGUGCUUACCACUGAUGUCGUGUGUACUUGGCUUUUGAGAUCAAAAGUUUAUUCGUUCAUAGAUUUUAGCAUCAUUUUUGGUUUCUCUAAAUAUUUAUGGAGUCUCAAGCUUCGGCGUUCACAAAGGUUUUAGGGCACUCUUUUUUAGCUUGAAUUGGACUCAUUUUUUUACAAACCUCUUUUUCAGGUGUAGAAGUGGCAUUUGCCUUUUUUUUUUCUUUUAGACUGAUUUGUUAAAGCUAAUUGAAAACACAUCCAAUUAAGUCUAUUAAGAAUUUAAUACUCCCAUGGAUACGAUAACUUGUUCACUUGGGCUUAUAUUUGCCUGUCUACAAACUUAAUCUUGUUUUUGUUGUUGGUGAAUAUCAUUUCCUUUUGUAUUGGUGUUUAUAUUUUGUAGAAUCUGUCCUAAAAGCACACCAUAAAUAUAGGUAGGGACACAUUGCUUGCUUUUAUUUUCCUAGAAUUACACGCAAUAAUCUGUUCGGUAUUUUUUUUUAUCUGUUUGUAGCAGUUGCCCUGUCCCUAAAGUGUGCAAUAGUUUGGGAAUUGGGUGAUAGGGUUCUAGCCACAGAAAUGACUUCUCUAUUUGGGGGAUGAAACAAUGCAUAUUGAUCAUCCCCGAUCUCCCAUGUUGGCAGACACUUGGUUUGCCUUCUUUUUUUAGUUGACAUGUCCCUCUCUUGUCAAAUUGGUUAGGAAUUCGGUACCUGUGUUUUAUUGCUUUCUUGAUGUUUUCUGAUGCCUAUAUUCAUUCACGUAUUAAUGAGAAACUGGUGAUCCCUUUUAAGUCGGAACUAAAGUCGAUGUUGGUUUGCAAUCCUCACCUCUAGGUUUUUUCACUUUUAAGUUGGAACUAAGGCGAUGAUGGCUUGCAAUUCUCACCUCUAGGUUUUCAUUUUUCCCUUUUCCUUUUAUAAGAAAUAGGAUGAAACAAUAUAAGCUCGCUUUCAUGAUCCAGCCUUGCUUGAGAUAUUUAGAUGGAGUAAUUGGUACUCUUUCUUUCAUUUGAGCAUCAUUUUCUCAUGUAGGGCACAGUAAGGAAAGCAGUGUAUCUGGAAGCACAUGCUUAUAUGAUCAUUUGUUUGACACCAAGACUUGAGAGGAAUUUGAGAUUAUUGGGACCAUGAUAACAUGCCAAGUUACAGCUGUAGUGGUGCGACCCAUCACCAGUAAGCUAUUAUUUUUUCCUUGUUAGGUUAUGCUUUCUCUGCAUGCUAGCAAUGAUUAUCCAACUAUAUUUCUAGUUCAGGAGAAGAAAAAACUGAGACUGGACUUCACACACCCAUCACUGCUUUUGGUUGGCCCAGAUGUGGUUAGCAUGCAGAGGCAGAGGGGUAUCAUGACCUUACCAAAUCGCCCUAAACUCAGUCUGCUUGAUUGGAUCCUGGUCAUGCCCCAUCACUUGUUCUGCUCUCUUGGAAUCAGGCUGUCAGCCAUGCAUUGUUUAGAUAGGUAGCACAUAACCUUAGCUAGCAUGACAUUGUUUGUCAGGGCUUUACUCCCCUUCUAUCUAUUAAAAUUUUGGGCUAGUGUCUCACAACUUAAGCAUGAAAACUAAACUACACAAGUCAAACCCUCGGAAGUAUUCUAUUUAUAGAUGUAUUUUCUCACUAGAUAUGGGAUUAUUUUGGAGCAUCGAAAUCUCAUCGGGUCAAAUCAUUGAUGUUCUAAUCAGAUUCACACACAUUGCAUGUGAAUCCGCAUGGAUAGCUAGGACUUCCGAAAGUGAUGUGGGACAUCGAAUUGUCAUGGACGGUCAAGCUGUCACUGGUCAUGGUGCUUGUCUCCAUCGAACCGGAAAUUUACUGUGUUGCAUGGUAGGUCUCAAUGUGAUCCAUCCACCAGGAUCAGUUGACCUUAUACCAAAUCUGUCAUCAUGAUUCAAGUCCAAAAUCACAGAAUUAAUCUUCCAAAAAGGAUAGUCAGACAGUGCAUUUUGAGUUAGUAGCAACUCAUACAGUUCAUAGCCAACGUAGGAUUAGUUUGAGUUUCAAGCAAAGUACAGUUCGAGAAGAUCCACAUCUGGUUUCCAUCUUUACCUGCCCUAUGGACGGAGUUGUUCCCUGCGCCGCUUCCACUGCCACCACUACCAGCAGCACUUCACCACCAUUGAUAAUGGUGUAAGCACUUCUACAAAAAGUAGCUGCCUACUUUUGAUUUGAAGUGGUAAGAGGCAAAAGAUCUGCCGGAUCCAAACUUUCUACUGCAUCAAUGGAAGUAAAGCAAACUUCACCAUGGAAAUUGACCCCCUGCGACAUGGUAACAACGCCUAGAAGUUUCUUAAUCUAAACCCCAUGCUUGAGCUGAAAUAGGAAGAUGUUGCUGAGGUCUACAUAUCUGACUGCCUUGUACAUUAUAAAUCGUAGGUGGGACAUCAUAAAUCACUCUUCAAACUCCCACUUUGGUUUCCCUAGCUAUUAGAGUUGCCCACUUCUUUUAUGAUAAGAUUCUGACAGAUAUUUUCUUAGUGUCUUCCUACGUGGUAACCAUCAAAGUUUCAUCUCUGCAUCUGUAUUAAUGAAAGAGAUUUUGUCUUGGAUUUUUGGUCCAUACCUGUAUGAAUGCGUUGACAUUGUUGUAGUGGUCUGAUGAUUCAGGUCCUGAACCAGAAAAUAUAUGCAGGAGAAUCUGUAAGUCUUUCUUCAGACAUGUAUGUACUGUUGUUUGAAUAUUACGAUGGCAAUACUAUAUAUGUUUAUAUGUACGAGAAACCACAACCUUUUGACAAGACAAGGAGCAGGAAUAGUGGAAGCAACUUAUAUCAUUAUACUAGUAAGGUGGUGUUGGCUCAAGUUGUCCUGCGCUCACUGACAUUACAUGGUAACAAAGCCAUACAAAACACCUUUGACAGCACUGAAUGCCACCUAGUGAUUGCAUCACACCUUCAUUUAUAUAUGACAUUGUUCGGUGAGAGAUGGUUUUAAUAAGCAUUAGAUACUCUUAAGCAACUUGUUGAGAUCCCAUCACUGCUCAUCCUGGCUUUGCUUCUUUCUUGCCUUCCUCUUCUAUGGCUGAGGGUGGCGCUGCGUGUAGAUGUAGUCCAAAUGGGCCUCGGACAUCAUUCUCCUCUCGAGGCAUUCUUCGGUUCCACCCGCGCAUGCUUCCAUGCCCAUGAGCUGAAACGAGGAAAAAGGAGUGAGAAAGCAAAGAAAGAAACCACUCCAUCAAGGUUGUGUCCUUUGCCUCACUCACAUUCCAAGGUUCCUCUUCCUCCACCCCUCCUGCAUCCUUCAUCUUCACAUGGUCUGCGUGCCAAAGCAAGAGAGAAUGAAACGAGAAGCAACAGCUGUGUUUUGGACGGAGAGGAGGAUCAUGACGAGGAGGAGGAGCAAGACGAGAGGUGCCCGAGAGCUGUGCGAGCCGUGUCUCAUUGUUCCUGGUUUCUUGCAACCCACAAACACAGGUAGG